GCCCAAUUCGCACGUGCCCAUGGGUGUCCGCCGUUCCGACGGCGAGGUACAGGAGGCCACAGCCUCCUCCGAAGCCAGAUAGGCCGAGGUGACACUCCAAAGCAACGACGGUGAGGGCCUUU
rnacentral:sRNA from 1 species